CUCUCCGAAGGUUCUCUGGGGACCGGGGUGGGGGGGACGGGGCGGGUAGUGGUGGCCUCCGAGAGCCGCUCUUCGACCGCCCUUGGCAGCGCCUCCGGACAGGGAGAGGAGGCAGCGCCGUGGAACGCUGAGGAGUCCGGGUCACUCUGCCCUAGGAUGCCCCAUUCCCCAGAUACGCGGUGGGGACCCAGGGUAAGGGUCGGCCUGCAGUGACGAGGAGGGGCCGAAGACGGACACCUUACUUCACCGGGUUAGAGACCAGGCAGCGCCCACGCGGGAGGGGCACCGGAGAGACGAGGAUUCCUUUGAUGAAAACUUGAAUGGAGCUUCUCAUCAAAAAGCAUCCCCUGCUCUAAUCAGUCCUCUACUUCUCUCUUCCCUUCACACGCAUGACCCUGGGCUAGCCCCCCUCCCCCCAUGCCCUGGGGAGGGGGUCAGGACUGGGCAAAGGGAACAGCCCCCAACAAGUUCACCUGGCGCAUCCCAGGGGAAGGACGGACACAUACCUUCUCCUACUCUUGUCUUCAGGACCAGCCCAAGACAGCAGCCCCUCAGUGCUGUCCUGCCUAGAGGACCCGGUUCUCAGGACACCCCUCCAGGGCUGGGGGUCCGCCUGACCUGAAGGGACCUGAAGCAGAAACACGUCAGGUGCAGGGGACAUGUCUCUGUCUGAGGGGCUACUCUGCCCUGGGAAGGGAGGCGACAAGAAGUCCCUGGCAACUGUCUCAUGGACCCUGUGUUCCCUGUAGCACCUCCCACGUGCUGUUUUCACCUGGGGAAGAGAGGAGGGACUAUGUGGGCUGCAGCACUCACAGAAUCCUUGUUCCCCACCCCCAGCCUUAAUAAUUCCUGGUCAUCCCAGAAAGUCCUAGGGCAGCGCUAGAUCUCAAGGCCUCCACCAAAACCUGAGGCCGAGGGUCAGAAGCCCUGUACCCAGCAUGCCUCAUUACCAGCCUGGAGGACCCUGACCCCAACACCAGGCCCCUCCAGCUGGUUGGGACCCUGCAAGGGUCUCCCCAGGCCUCUACACCUCAUGGGGAAGGGUUGUGGGUAGAUUUGGGGAGGGGUGCUUGUUGGCAUGGAGGGCCCUGGGCUCGGACUGCCCCAGCUCGGUGGGGGACUUGAGCGCUUCCACAGGGAAGCAGAAAGUGAUGAUGAUCUAGGAACUUCUAUGUCCCUACCCCGAGCUCCUUGGGCUGCGGUUUCCCAUGGAAGCCUGAAGCUCCUGCAGUCACUUUGCCCCAGGCGACAGUGUGGGGGUGGGGGAGGCCCCAUUCUCUCCAGUGGCCCAAAUCUCCACUACUGUGGCAUCUCUGGGCCUGAGGACCUACGGGUAGCCAAUCUGCCACUCCACCCCAUGGAGAAGAGCCAGGCAGAAAUAGGAGGGCCGUUCAGCAUUUCGCAAAGUGGCGAGGUGGAGAUCUGGUUAGAUCCGGCCUGAUGCCUCUCUGGGGACUCUGGUGCCCGUGACCUGAGCCUGUUCUGAGGCUGGGGGCUCACCACUGCAGAGCUUUUCCUGGUCAGGGCAACUCCUGGCCGGGUGGAAGGGUUGACCAUGAGGCUGAAGGCUCUGCUGUCCCCCCACGUGGGCACUUGCUCCGUCCAGGGCAUCCUGCCUACUGUGGGCAAAGAGCGAGUGAGGGAGGGGAGACCUGUGCCCGCGUGUCCCUGUGUGAGUUCUGUUGAGAUGCAGCAGGAUUGGGGAGGGCAGACGUGAGAAAGGCUUUCUUCCCAUGUGAAGUUCUGGGCCCUGGAAGCAAAGGAACUGUCCCCAGAGACCACAAGGGACACCCCCCCAACCAGCCUACACCCCACAUCAACCUCCACACCCACCUCCAUGGCUGCCCCUGCCAAUGGCCAGCAGAAUAGCUACUGUACUCUACCUGACACCCAGUCCCAGGGCGUGGCUCUGUGUUGCCACCAGCCACAGCCUGAGGGGAAAGUGGAAGGAUUGGGGCCCUUUCCUCUGGCCCCCCAGAGGCAGUCCAUCUGUGAUCCCGGAUCCACCAGUCCUGAGAACUUCCAAUGAGAACCCCCUUCAGCCGCCCCCUGCCCAGAAAUAUAAGGGCUAAUGGGGAUUGUGGGAGCAUCUGGGCCUGUUGUAAUCUCUGCUCCAUUAAGGGGAGGGGAGGAGGAGGUCGAGGGUCAGCACGCUCCCUCCCCAGGUAGCUGAGUGUGGCUCCGGUGGCCUCCCCGCCAGCAGAAAAGGCACGUGGGCAGGACCCGUGCACAUCCAUCAGCUUAGCCCCCCUGCCUCCCGUGCACAGACCAUGUGGCCCAUCGCUCAAAGCCCCCCCCCCCCCCGCCAAAAGCGCAUGCACUGCACACACACACCAGCUUUCCUUUCACCAACCUCUUUCAGGACCCCCAGAGAGGCGGGGUGGGGUGGGCUGGAAUAGGUGGCCCCCACUUCUGCCUGGGGUCACCUUCUUGGGCAGGCUCGUGGGAAACCAGGGGAAGGAGCCUGGGCUCUGCAGGCACGGAGGCUGGCCACUGGGGUGCAGCCAGGCUGAAGUGAGAGAGACGCCAACUGAAGCUGAAACCCCAGUGGUGCCCACCUGCCCCCCCUUCUGACUUCCAGGAGUAGUGACCCCCCAUUUCUCUUUGGGAACCUCCUUUCUCCAUCCUCACCCUCCCUCCCCCCCCCCCCACGGGCUGGCGGGGCACCCGGGCCUGGUCUCUCAGACGAUGAUCCCCUUGGCCUCGAGGCCUUUGCCGAAGGGAGCGGGAAGGGGCAUUUGCUCUGCUGGAGGGGACAGACUGCCAGCUGCUGCAGCCCUAAUGAAGUGUGGGAAGAGCUGGUCUGAGCACGAAGCCGACCCCCGAGAAGCGCAAGCAACCUGGACAGACUCUUUGCUCCGAGUCUCUGGAUCCAGCCUUGCCCGAGGCUAGGAGUCCCCCGAACUUCAAGGCCACCGGAGCCAGGAAAACUCCUGCCUAAACAUCGACACACCUAUUUUCUAACUGUGCACCUCGGAGUCCCCUGGAUGGGUGACCUGGAGGUCCUAAGCGGGCCCUGCCAACCUCACCGACUUCACCUCCUCCUCCUCCUCCACGGACCCCUUCUCUUUCCUAGGACCCCCAGGUCAUUCUUUCGGCCUGACGGCUCCUCCCUGCAGAUCUGAGCAUCUCUGCCCGGUCCCACCUCCCACACCCCAGCUGGGUCCAGAGGGGCCUCAGAGGCAGCACGAGGCAAAACCUGACUCACAUAUACAACAUUAUAAGUAUGGUGAACCUUGUCCUACGGCCCAGCCAGCCACCGUGGUCAGCAAAGCGUGUUUCCCUCCACAGGCGGUUAGCGUGUCAGCAGAUAAGGGUGUGCAGGCCAGUUUACAGUCGUAGCAUACUAAAUGCUCUCUCCUCUUGCCUUCUUUCCUUGAUGAUAUGCCUUUGAGAUGCACGCGGGAGCUACGUGGCAGCGCCCUGUGGAUGGCAAGCUGCUUCCGUGGUUUGAUACCGUCCACACUGCCGCACACGCAGCCCUAGAACGGACGCCAUGUGCACCUGCGCCAAGAUGCCCUGGAAGCAAUGGAACUAACUGGGCUUCAGGACCCCGAGCGAGCGCGUCACGCCUGCUCCGGGAGGGGGCGCAGCGCUGGGCAUCGCCACCUACCGGCCGUGCGGGGUACUGCACAGGACGUGGGGCCCAGCAGCCUCCCCCUUUUGGAAGCGUCCCGGGCAUGCUCUCCAAGGGCAGAGGUGGAACAGUCCCAGGAGAAAGAGAAAAGAUGUUCUGCUACAGGCUGCGGAGGCUUCACCAGCUCGCCCAGCAGGACCCUGGACGGCCUCGGGACGGCGAGCUCAGGCAAGCAGAGCCCCCAGUCAGCUUUGAAGUGCUGAGACUGCCAGUUAUUCCCAAGAUCCAUUCUGCUCUUCUUUUCAUUUACAUGUUUACUUUUGAGAGAGAGUGAGGGGGGGAGGGGCAGGGAGCGAGGGGACCAGAACUCACAAACCGAACCGUGAGAUCAUGACCCGAGCCAAAGCAGGAGGCUUAACGGACUGGGCCCCCCAGGCGUCUCUCUUCCCUUAUUUCUAAGUCACGCCGGCGCUGCUUUACCUGGAAACGUGUCUCCCACAAAAACUCUGCCUUCCAGCCUUCCUUGCAGCUGCGUGUGCCAAGUUCUGGUCCGUGGAUACCAGCUCCAAGGUCUCACCUUCUGACCCUUCUUCCUUUCCGGCGGGCUCGCAGGCACGAGAGCUGCAGCCUGGGAGGCCGUCGUGGCCCGUGAGGGCGGUGGAACAGCAAAGGGGAAAAGAUGGGGUCCCUGAAGAUUAGGGAACCCUGACACCAGCCCUCGGCCCCCCACGAAAGGGAGCAACCACCCUCUGUCUUGUUUUAACCACUUUUGCUUGGAGGUUGGGGACACGCUUGUUUGAGCCCGAGCCUACCCACCGCGGUGUCUCCUACAUUCAAGCAGGGAAAGAAGGCUCAUCAGACAUUUGAGGAAAGUUUUCAACAUGGGGUGGAGAGACUGAAGCACACAGAGGAAAGGAAACUGGACCGAAGAGAGUGCAGCAGAAAAAAUAGGCUUUAAAAAUCUGUAAUUGGGGUGUGUGGGUGGCUCAGUCAUUUAAGCCUCUGAUUCGGCUCAGGUCAUGACCUCAAGGUUCAUGAGUUAGAGCCCCGCUCGUGUGCUCUCUCUCUCUCAAAAACAAACAUUAAAAAAAUCUAUAAUUGCAGAAAUUAUCAUUCUAAUUUCUCUGUAAGUGAGAAAAAAUUACACUUAUGAGAGAAUAUUAUCCAAGAAAAAGAAUCAGAAGAAAUGAACAUGAAGUCGGAAAGAUAAAACAUGUGAGAGCUUCUGGCGUGCCUUUUCCAGCACCACCACGCGGCUCUGUGCGUUGCAGCGGACGCUCACUGGGGACAGACAACUAGAAGACAAAAUUAGCAAAAAUGAACUAAGAGUAAAUUCCAGAAUAAUUUUAAGAAUAUUACAGCUGAAAAAGAAUGGCAUGUUUAAAGUCUGAUUGUACUAUUUUUUGAGAGAGAGGGGACAUCCAUGCAAUCGGGGGAGGGACAGAGGGAAGGAGG